rnacentral:rRNA from 1 species
CACGGGGGGAGCAAGCGUUGUUCGGAUUUAUUGGGCGUAAAGAGCGUGUAGGCGGCUUGGUAGGUCCGCUGUGAAAACUCGAGGCUCAACCUCGAGAUGUCGGCGGAAACCACUUGGCUAGAGUCCGGAAGAGGAGAGUGGAAUUCCUGGUGUAGCGGUGAAAUGCGCAGAUAUCAGGAAGAACACCUAUGGCGAAGGCAGCUCUCUGGGACGGUACUGACGCUGAGACGCGAAAGCGUGGGGAGCGAACAGG